UACGAAGGGUGCAAGCGUUACUCGGAGUUACUGGGCGUAAAGAGUGCGUAGGCGGUCUUUUAAGUUUGGUGUGAAAUCUCCCGGCUCAACUGGGAGGGUGCGCCGAAAACUGGGAGGCUUGAGGAUGGGAGAGGCAUGCGGAAUUCCUGGUGUAGCGGUGAAAUGCGUAGAUAUCAGGAGGAACACCUGCGGUGUAGACAGCAUGCUGGACCAUUUCUGACGCUGAGGCACGAAAGCGUGGGGAGCGAACAGG
rnacentral:rRNA from 1 species